rnacentral:tRNA from 2 species
AAUUUUAUAGUUAAAUAAAUAACAUUAAAUUGCAAAUUUAAAAUUAUAAUAUUAUUAAAAUUU